GUUCCUUCGACAUGGUUCUCUCGACGCGCCCUAGUAUACUCUACCUGUUCACCUGUGUCAGUUUGGGGUACGGUCAGUUCACCGGGAGGAUCGCCCUCCCAAUUCGAAGUUUUUUCCUGGAAGUUUCAACCGUCGUUGACUAUGACAACAGUCGUGACCGACUAUUAAGAUCCUCGCGACUAUGGCAGGGCGGUACGCUCUGCUCUCUCACGACCUCCACUCUAAUCAAAAGACUAAAGGCCCCUACGGAAGAUGAAAAAGGCGAGGACUGAAAUGAGAAAGGAAGGAGUUCGGUAAGACGACUUCGAUUCACACGUGAAAGUGCUUCGAAAGGUGUCAGCAGGUGCGCGGAGCCGGAGCCGGCAUGAGAUUGGAAGAGC